rnacentral:ncRNA from 1 species
GUGUAUGAAAGGAGAGAAGGUCAGCACUCCCCUUGACAAGGACAGAAGAGGCCCUCGGGCCUGACAACAUGCAAUUAAGGCAUUUCCAUGUACAUGGCAUCUAACCAACAUUUUAG